rnacentral:sRNA from 3 species
UAUCUAUCCAUACAGGGAAGGAUGAGAAGCUUCGACUAAGGUUCGAUUCGAGCGCAGCGAGAAAGCGUUGCCGCAGGCAACGACCCGAAGGGUGAGGAGCGGAGCGACGAAUAAUCCUUCCCCCACCACCA